CCUACGGGUGGCAGCAGUGAGGAAUAUUGGUCAAUGGACGAGAGUCUGAACCAGCCAAGUAGCGUGAAGGAUGACUGCCCUAUGGGUUGUAAACUUCUUUUAUAUGGGAAUAAAAUGUUCCACGUGUGGGAUUUUGUAUGUACCAUAUGAAUAAGGAUCGGCUAACUCCGUGCCAGCAGCCGCGGUAAUACGGAGGAUCCGAGCGUUAUCCGGAUUUAUUGGGUUUAAAGGGUGCGUAGGUGGAUUGUUAAGUCAGUUGUGAAAGUUUGCGGCUCAACCGUAAAAUUGCAGUUGAAACUGGCAGUCUUGAGUUCAGUAGAGGUGUGCGGAAUUCGUGGUGUAGCGGUGAAAUGCUUAGAUAUCACGAAGAACUCCGAUUGCGAAGGCAGUUCACUGGACUGCAACUGACACUGAGGCUCGAAAGUGUGGGUAUCAAACAGGAUUAGAUACCCUUGUAGUC
rnacentral:rRNA from 1 species